GUUCACCCCAACAGCCCCAGCCGAGAACAGAGCAGCAGAGCCCACAACUCACCUGGGGGCUGGGGCUGGGGCUGGGGCUGCUCCUACCCCUCUCCAGGCUUCUGGUGCACCGGGACACAGCCGGAGGAACAGGAAGUCGGGGCGGCGGCAGAAACGGCUCUGCGCGGGCUGAACUUGAACUUCAGCCAUACACUGGAAUCACCUGACGAUCUUUGAGAACUAUUAUUCCAUCUGAAGAGGAACUAGCAAUCUAAUCAGCCUAAACUAUGGGUUUAAAAGUCCCCAGAUGCUUCUGAUGCACAGAAUUACAUAUUCUUAAAAAUACCAACACCUACACCCCAGGUGAGACUAACCCUGGCCUGGGGCUGGGACCGUCGUAUUUUCUACACCCUCCCCUAGAAGAUCCUAAUGUGAAGGUAGGCUAAGAAUCAAAGCACCAAAGAUUCAAUUGCAAGAAUCAUAAGCAUUUGUUGUCUCUGAUGUGUGCUCGUUCUCCCGGGAGAGGGGUCAUCCCUUUCUUGAGAACGAUAAUACCACCUGGGUCUCUGCACCAAGGAGAAGAGCCACGGCUCGCUGGCCCUGGGUCAGAGCAAUUGCAGUCUCCAGCUGGCUGGUGGGAAACGGAUUCUGCUCUUCAAGGACCAGCCAAAGUUGCACGUUGGUCCCUUGCUAAACAGUGGGUUUAGUUAGGAGACCUUGCUCUCAGGAGCACAGCAGGGAGGCAAGCCUGUGGACAGGCCACUCUGGGCCCUCCCGAGUUCACCAGAUGUCCGGGCACCACACGCCUCUGGAUUGCAAUUGAGUUGUCACCGCACUUGGCCUCACCCGACAAGGGGCUCCGUCACAGCCCAGCUCUCCAUCAUGAGAGCUCGGGUGGGUGCACACCACACAGUGCUGUGCACUGGGCUCUGCAUUUGCUCUAUGGAUUCUGCUGCUUGGAACAAAUAGGAGUUGCCUCGCAACUCUUGGACGCAAAUCCUGAGAAAUUCCAACCUCCACAAAGAAAAUUAAAACUGGCUACCGGCCCCAGAUAUUGGAACAGGUGAGAACUCACCAGUUGACUUGGGGAGCCCUUCCCACCCUUUACAUAGAACAAGGCACCAGCUCUUUGAUGGACCCAGAAAAAGAGGAUUAAGCUCCAGUCUUCAAUGCUGCUUGGCCAACCAGAGAUGGCGCCUCCACACCUGACAGUAACGCCAAAUUUGCUGAGUCCUGGGUGAUCUUCCCACUGGCUCCUAGGGACAAAGAGCUCUGUCCUCCCUGCACCCCCCCCCCCCAGUCAUCUGUACCGUGGUCUUUCUACUGCAUGGACAGUGCCAAGGCCCCUGGCUGUCCAGGCACAGAACCCGCGGUCCAGGAACUCCUCCUCAGGCCUCUUCUCAGCUCACACGGAGUUUAUGGCCGAGAACAUGGGAUGCAGGGAUUCUGCAGGAGCUCAGUCCAUCACAUUUCAUUCUCAACGCCUUCUUUCCACAAGCCAAGUUUGUCACUGCCACACAGGCAAAAGGAUUUCACACUUCAAGACUUCGUUUUACCUGUAAGAUCAUACAAUUCUUAAGAGAACAGAGAUGACUUUUCACCCACUGAAGUAACCGGCCAAGUCCAUGAAAUGGAUUUGACCAAACAGGACUUCGACUGAAGGCUGAAACUGAGAAGGAUUUCAAGGGAGUGUUUGUUAUCCAGAAAACAGAUGAGAACAGCCAGCCGGUAAGGUGGGCGCUGUGGAUACUCCAGCACAACCUCAUUUUCUGGCCAGGCUUUCUCAUCCCCAGCUGCAGUGAAUGUUGGCUGCUAGAGACUGAAGGGCCCCAGGGAUGGCUGCCUGCUCCAACGGCUCUGCUCUAGGGCUGGGAAAUCCGUCCAUCAGGGAACUGUGUUCCUGGGGGCUCUCAGAGAUGUGAACCUAACAAGGUGAUAAGGGACACAAUGCUGGGAGCACCAAUAUCCUUGAGAAGCUCAUGGUGGCUGUCGUCUGUAGGCUGGAAUAAUGGGAGAAUAGAUGUCUUACAGGACUGGGUUCCUUAGUAGAGAUGAAAAUAACAGGAUCUUAGAGUAACAGAGGCCAGGGGCAGCAUUUAGCUGUCAGAGCUAGGUAAAGUAAUUUCUGUAAUGGGCAGCAAAGUUAGAAAUACAGCCAGGAGGACCUGACCCAUCGGUGUAUAUGGAGAUAACAGGACAUGGUGUUCCUGCAGGCACAACAGAUGGGCAGCCAGAAAGGCUACUGCUUCAUAUAGAUCAUCAAAAAGAAAUCAAAAAUAGAUGGGCAGAAGGCUGAGGUCAGUCCCCUUGGUUUCCUAGCCUGAGCCAGUUCCCAGCAGGGCCCAGAGUCCAUGUAAGGAAAGCAGGGCAGGUUCUCACAAGGGAGGAUCCCACACGAUUCCCUCGGUUCCUCACCCAAGGCACUCGUGGUCGUUUGUGCAAAUAUCGCAUGCUGGGGAGAGGGGACUCACAGCUCUUUCAAGGGUGUUAAACACCACAUCGGACCUUCCACUAACACCUGGGGACCCCAGGUACCAUCGUGGCCCCUGCUGGCCUGCAGUGUAAGGAGGCUAGGGAGCACAUCUCACAGAGGGCCCAUGGAUCCGCAGAGCCAGCCGGCAACUGCUUCCUCUGUUCCUGAGUACGGAGCAGGUCACGCCUCGCUCUGAUUUGAACUGGUUCCUUAACCUGUGAAGUAGCCACAGCUGUCUCGGGAAAAGCCAGGGAAAAGGCUCUGACAUGAAGUUUCUCCUGGUGAAAGUCAGCCGAAGCCAUGUCCUAGCCCUGGGGAAUGACUGAGAUUAGUGCCAGCUGCAAAGACUUGGAAGAGGCCAUGGAAUCCAGGAAACCCAGCUGUCUGGCCCCUGCCAAAGCUGGGUGGGUCGUGGCCACCACAUGAGUGCUAGAAACUUAACCAGGGAGUAGAACUUAUUACAGUUAUUGCGCCAGAUGUGUACCUUUGUUAGAGCAGUCAGAAUAGCCUCUGGUAGGUGGUAUGCACCUGUUACUAUGGGAAAUGUGCUUUUAGAAUGCCCAGCAGUAGGAGGAGAGGCAGCUCACAGUCAUAAGGACUGGACAAGAGUACAUGUUUAUGGCUUGGCUCCAGGGCAAGGUGAAUUCUCCCGCUCCGUCACCCUAUGGCCUGGCUGCACACUCCGUAGUACAUGGGUCCAAGUUACAGAUGACAAUGUGUCAUUGGCCCUCGUGAGCAAGGAGUGUUGAGAAUUCUGAAUGCCUCCUCAGUCACAGGCACUCCAGAUGGUGGGGACAAGCCUACCAAGAUUCACAGCUGUGCCAUGAUCAGGGGUCAGUGAGUCGGAGCGGGUCAGGACGUCCCCUCCAAAGCCCCAAGCCAUUGCCCCUCGCACUGCCUGCCACUAAGAAGCCCAAGGCUUGGCAGGCCUCUCCUGGCGAGGAGAAUAAUCGUGGUCGACAAUGUGAUACAAAUGAUUCUUGAAACGUGUGUGUUUGAGGGGAGGCAGGGGCGUGUGCCUUCUCAGAUAAAAUGUGCUAAUCUAUGUUUUUCUUGUAAUAAAAUACAGUGGAUGCUGU